GAUCAUGGCUCAAGAUGAACGCUGGCAGCGUGCCUAACACAUGCAAGUCGAACGAAGCGAUUUAACGGAAGUUUUCGGAUGGAAGUUGAAUUGACUGAGUGGCGGACGGGUGAGUAACGCGUGGGUAACCUGCCUUGUACUGGGGGACAACAGUUAGAAAUGACUGCUAAUACCGCAUAAGCGCACAGUAUCGCAUGAUACAGUGUGAAAAACUCCGGUGGUACAAGAUGGACCCGCGU
rnacentral:rRNA from 1 species